rnacentral:rRNA from 1 species
CCUACGGGAGGCAGCAGUGAGGAAUAUUGGUCAAUGGGCGCGAGCCUGAACCAGCCAAGUAGCGUGAAGGAUGACUGCCCUACGGGUUGUAAACUUCUUUUAUAAAGGAAUAAAGUGAGGCACGUGUGCCUUUUUGUAUGUACUUUAUGAAUAAGGAUCGGCUAACUCCGUGCCAGCAGCCGCGGUAAUACGGAGGAUCCGAGCGUUAUCCGGAUUUAUUGGGUUUAAAGGGUGCGUAGGCGGAGGGUUAAGUCAGAGGUAAAAUUUAGGGGCUCAACCCCUUCCCGCCCUUGAAACUGGCGUUCUUGAGUGUAGGAGAGGUAUGCGGAAUGUGUGGUGUAGCGGUGAAAUGCAUAGAGAUCACGCAGAACCCCGAUUGCGAAGGCAGCAUGCCGGCUUCCGACUGACGUUGAAGCACGAAAGCGUGGGGAGCGAACAGGAUUAGAUACCCUAGUAGUC